rnacentral:rRNA from 1 species
AUUGAACGCUGGCGGCAGGCCUAACACAUGCAAGUCGAGCGGAUGAAGGGAGCUUGCUCCUGGAUUCAGCGGCGGACGGGUGAGUAAUGCCUAGGAAUCUGCCUGGUAGUGGGGGAUAACGUCCGGAAACGGGCGCUAAUACCGCAUACGUCCUGAGGGAGAAAGUGGGGGAUCUUCGGACCUCACGCUAUCAGACGAGCCUAGGUCGGAUUAGCUAGUUGGUGGGGUAAAGGCCUACCAAGGCGACGAUCCGUAACUGGUCUGAGAGGAUGAUCAGUCACACUGGAACUGAGACACGGUCCAGACUCCUACGGGAGGCAGCAGUGGGGAAUAUUGGACAAUGGGCGAAAGCCUGAUCCAGCCAUGCCGCGUGUGUGAAGAAGGUCUUCGGAUUGUAGAGCACUUUAAGUUGGGAGGAAGGGCAGUAAGUUAAUACCUUGCUGUUUUGACGUUACCAACAGAAUAAGCACCGGCUAACUUCGUG